rnacentral:rRNA from 1 species
GUACACGCUGUGACUAGCAUAUCAAUAAGCGGAGGAAAAGAAACUAACAAGGAUUCCCCUAGUAACGGCGAGUGAAGCGGGAAGAGCUCAAAUUUGAAAUCUUAAAGGGUUUCCCUUUACGAAUUGUAGUUUAAAGAAGUGUUUUCUGUUGAGGUUUUGGUAAAAGUUCUUUGGAAUAGGACAUCAUAGAGGGUGAGAAUCCCGUAUUUGACCUUUACUUUCAACUUUGUGAUACACUUUCAAAGAGUCGGAUUGUUUGGGAAUGCAGUCCAAAAUGGGUGGUAAAUUUCAUCUAAAGCUAAAUAUUGGCGAGAGACCGAUAGCGAACAAGUACCGUGAGGGAAAGAUGAAAAGAACUUUGAAAAGAGAGUUAAACAGUACGUGAAAUUGUCAAAAGGGAAGCGUUUGACACCAGUGUUGUUUUUCUGAAAAUCAAUUAAAGAACUGUUUAUGCUAAGCUGUUUAGACUUUAUCAGCUAUCUGUUUAGUUUUGAGCUUUUCUUUAAUGCACUCUUCAGUUAACAAGUCAAUCAAUUUCUUUUGCUGUAAAAAAGCUUGAGGGAGGUGGCUUGAGAUUCGUCUUAAGUGUUUAUAGCCUCUUGCCUAUGCAGUCGGAGAGAUUGAGGUCUGCAGCGUAGAUCCUUCGGGGCUAAAUGCAUUUGUGCUAAGUUAUAGCAUUUCAUAGACAACUUGUUGACUAUGAUUUGUCUUGUAGCUUACUCGCUUAUGUUAUUUUACCUACGCUUAGGAUGUUGAUAUGCAUGACUGAUAU